UUUGAGUAAAAAACAUAACCCAUGCCAGCAAAGACAUAUCCAUCAGUAUUCCCCACUGCCCAUUGAGACAGUCUGUGUCCUUACUCCUCAGACACCAAAGCAUACAGCACUCUUCUUAAAGACAAGGCAUUUGGAACUGUAGAUAUUGGAUUGGCCCCACUUUUUACAGCCCAAAACCAUCUGGUUCGCCAUUUUCCACGCGCAGUUCAUGCCCUUCUGGAUGACCCUUCUAGGUGCCUAAAUUGAAACAUGGAGGCAACGUUGCAGAACUGAGAAGACAUCCGGCCUAUCAAAAUGAGCAGAGUUUCAGACCUGUUCACCCUUUUCCAUUGACUUUCCAAAGCAAUGAGAGUAUGGAAGGGACUGCAGAGAUUUUUGAGAGGGAUGUUUUCCAUCUUCCCUUGUUGCCAAUUGAGAGGACAAAAUUCGAAAGACAGGUUAUUAUAUCAAUGAUGAUGAAGUUGAAGCCAACAGUCUAGUCUAGUGUCUAGUCUACCUGAAGUGGGAAGAGUCAGCGUCCCAAAUGUCCAUUCGGGCACACUGAUUGGUUGAAAGGAACAGCCUUUUUUUUGAUGAUGAAGAUGAUGAAGAAGAAGAAGAAGAUGGUGGUGGUGGUGAUAUAGAGAGCAAUAGUGAUGACGUUUUUUUGUAGGCACUAACUCUGCCAUGGUUCAUUGAACAAAGCCUAUGUGAAAAUGAAUGGUUUUUGUAGGGUUUUUGGAUAAACACGAAAAUAAAGUCUGUGGUAAACACAGGCUUAGGAGAUCUUAUACAUUUUUGUUGUAUGAGAUAAUCUUCAUCAGCUAACAUCACUUUUUGUUCAUUUUUAAGCAUUUAUGUAACUUAAAAAACAUAACGCACUUAAAGACUUUGUAAUUCAUUAAGUUCAUGUUAACUGACUGACACCUCAUAGAACAAAACGUAUAAGAUCUCAUAAAACUGUUUUAACCUCAGACCUUAUUUUCGCCGUUUAUUCCAAAACUCUAUUCUUUCCCCAUAAAUGUUGUGAUGAUGAUAAAGCCUAUGAAUUGCACUAUCAAAAUAUACUGUAUAUAUUAUUAUUUUGACCCCCUUCGGUUACGUGGUGGGCUAAGUCACUCAUGUCAUGUCAGAUGCACAACCGUGCUGCGCGACUGUCAGCGUUGCGGUCUCAUACGACACUGGAGACUUUGGCGCCAUCCCUGCGGUCACCACUUCUGCCGUGAGUGCAUGGAUCAGAUCACAGAUGAUGGUUUCCGCGACAUCGAGGUGCUUAGCUCAAAUCCCUGUCCACAGUGUAAAUCAGUUAUAGCCUACUAAAUCUGUAACCGUGACUGUAUAUUAGUGCCUUUUUCUGAGUUUUUGUAACCUUUUCUUUUUCUAUGCACUUUGUAUUCCCUGCAUGUCCCUAUUGCCCAGGCAAUUCAACAGAACUACGGUAUCAUCAAGACAAAGAACAAGCAACACUAUCUCGCCAUUUAACUCGUCAAUCAGAUCAGAUUUUCAUUGUCAUCUUUUGGACAUUCUACGCAUUAAUGAAUGUGUGUAGUAGGCCUAGGUCACAGUCAAUGACAUUAAUAUAUCUUAAUAUAACAAUCUUAAUGAAGCUGAUGCUAAGCUCCAUCCAAUACAAAUGACUAUUUAAGAAUAUUAACAACUCGGGCUCAUAGACAGGGUUGGGGAGAAACUGAUUGCAUGUAAUCAUGUACAUGUUAUCUGAUUACAAAAAAAGUAGUUCCAGCUAAAGUUGUAUAAUCAGAUUACAGAUACAUUUGAAAAACUAGAUGAUUACUCCUUGGAAUACUUGCUUGCGAAAAAAAAAAUACAUUGACCCUUUUACUGUUCUCAAUGACAUUCAAUUCAGCCUUGAAAAAAGGCUAAUUUAGCUUGUUCCACCUGAGCGAGUCUGACCAUGAAUCAGAGACCACAAUGACGACACAUCAAAUGCGUUUGAUGGAUAGUUUUGGUCUUCUAAUGCCUCUUAAGGGAAAAGUAAUACGAUUACAUUACUGAUUAUGGGUAAUCCAAAAUUACUGAUUACAAUUUUGGACAGGUAACUAGUAACUGUAACGGAUUAUAUUUAGUAAGUAACCUACCCAACUCUGCUUAUAGGCUAUAUGAUAGAGUGGCCCAAAGGUCAGUAUAUCAAAAACAAAUAUUGACUUGCACUUCAAUAAGCACUUCCCAUCAAAUUCCACCCAGAAAUGUAUCUAAUUUCAACCCCAUAAUUUGACCUUUAACCUUCAAUAAAUUACACAGCAGUACACAGUGCAUUCAUUUAAUCUGCAAUGUACCCAUGUGAACCAUAGAGAAAACAAUCACAGACAAAAUGGUCACCUUUCAAGCCCUUUAUUGGUGAAAUUUCAGCAUAAUUUCAAGAUGAUGUCAAGAGAAGGAGUGAGGUAGACUUGACACAGGUGAAA